rnacentral:rRNA from 1 species
AACCUGCCUCAUACAGGGGGAUAACAGUUGGAAACGACCGCUAAUACCGCAUAAGCGCACAGGAUUGCAUGAUCCAGUGCGAAAAACUCCGGUGGUAUGAGAUGGCGAUGCGUCCCAUUAGCUAGUUGGUGAGGUAAUGGCUCACCAAGGCAUCGAUGGGUAGGGGUUCUGAGAGGAAGGUCCCCCACAUUGGAACUGAGACACGGUCCAAACUCCUACGGGAGGCAGCAGUGAGGAAUAUUGGUCAAUGGACGAAAGUCUGAACCAGCCAAGUAGCGUGCAGGAUGACGGCCCUCUGGGUUGUAAACUGCUUUUGGUUGGGAAUAAAAAGAGGGACGUGUCCCUUAUUGUAUGUACCAUCAGAAAAAGGACCGGCUAAUUCCGUGCCAGCAGCCGCGGUAAUACGGAAGGUCCAGGCGUUAUCCGGAUUUAUUGGGUUUAAAGGGAGCGCAGGCGGCGGCGUAAGUCAGUUGUGAAAUCGUGCAGCUUAACCGUGCAAUUGCAGUUGAUACUGCGUCGCUUGAGUGCACACAGGGAUGUUGGAAUUCAUGGUGUAGCGGUGAAAUGCUUAGAUAUCAUGAAGAACUCCGAUCGCGAAGGCAUAUGUCCGGAGUGCAACUGACGCUGAGGCUCGAAAGUGUGGGUAUCAAACAGGAUUAGAUACCCUGGUAGUCCACGCAGUAACCAAAGAAUACUCGCGGUUGGUUUCGUUAGAGUCAGCCGCCAAGCGAAAGCGUUAAGUAUUCCACCUGGGGAGUACGCCGGCAACGGUGAAACUCAAAGGAAUUGACGGGGGCCCGCACAAGCGGAGGAACAUGUGGGUUUAAUUCGAUGAUACGCGAGGAACCUUACCCGGGCUUGAACUGCCAGUGACUCAUGCAGAGACGCAUGUUUCUUCGGACACUGGCGGAGGUGCUGCAUGGUUGUCGUCAGCUCGUGCCGUGAGGUGUCGGCUUAAGUGCCAUAACGAGCGCAACCCUUCUCCCUGUUUGCCAUCGGGUAAUGCCGGGCACUCCAGGGACACUGCCAUCGUAAGAUGUGAGGAAGGUGGGGAUGACGUCAAAUCAGCACGGCCCUUACGUCCGGGGCUACACACGUGUUACAAUGGGCGGCACAGAAAGCAGCUACCCCGCGAGGGGAUGCCAAUCUCAAAAACCGUUCUCAGUUCGGACUGGAGUCUGCAACCCGACUCCACGAAGCUGGAUUCGCUAGUAAUCGCGCAUCAGCCAUGGCGCGGUGAAUACGUUCCCGGGCCUUGCACACACCGCCCGUCA